rnacentral:lncRNA from 1 species
GGCCCCUUCCCCGCCCCCCGCCCAAGCCCUGGCCCCCGCCUCCCCUUCAGGCGGACUUGCCCGCUCCCAGGCCGGCCCCGCUCCGGGGACAGGGACCGGGCCGAGCGGAGCCACUACGCCAGUGCUGCCCCGCCAGUCGGGGCGCCUAACGGAUCGGAGCUGCGCGCGGAUUUACCUCGCCCCGCCCCGUUCCACCCGCGAGGGUGGCCCGAGGCAGCCGGGAUGACACUUCUCCCCAGGAACCCUUCUAUCUGCUGAGAAACAUGACCAGCAAAUCUCGUGAGUGUUGUCCAGGGGGGCCCCCCAUGCUGGAGGAGGAUCCAUCAGUCAUCCUCAGCAGCAACCUGAGACCUCCACAGGGGUGGUAGAGGGUCACACUUGGAGCCAAGGACAGCAGAAAUACUUGGGUUCUAGCCCCUAGCUAGGUACAGGACAGGGCUAGGGACUGGGUCUGGUGUGCUGGGGGUGGAGGGGCCCAGGAUUGGCAGAAGAGAAGGCAGCCUGGGACUGUCCCUGCUUGUCUUUGCCGUCAGCUCCUUUGUGCGUGUUUUUUGCAGACUGGAAGCUCCUGGCCUUGGCUCUGGUCCUUGUUGUUGUCAUGGUGUGGUAUUCCAUCUCCCGAGAAGACAGGUACAUUGAGUUCUUUUAUUUUCCCGUCUCCGAGAAGAAAGAGCCAUGCUUCCAGGGUGAGGCAGAGAGGCAGGCCUCUAAAAUUUUCGGCAAGUAAGUACCUGAUGAUGGGACAGGGCACGGGGUGCUCAGGACUGAGGGGUAUUGCCUCAUCACUA